UUGAAUGCUGGCGGCAGGCCUAACACAUGCAAGUCGAGUGGUAGNCCNAGGGAGCUUGCUCCCGAAGUGGCGAGUGGUGGAUGGGCGAGCAAUACGUGGGUAUUCGUUUCGACGAUGGGGACAAUACUAGGAAACGUCGGCUAACAUUGGACAAUAUGAAAGAGGGUACGGAGAAGGUGGUGUAGACUGCUGUCAUAGGACGGGUUUGUGGUGUACCAGUCAGCCGGUGAGGUAAUGGUUCAUUAAGGUGAUGAGCUCGAGUUGAUCUGAGAGGGCGAUCGGUUAUACUGGGACUGAGAUAUGGUUUAGACUUCUAUGGGAGGUAGUAGCAGGGAAUCCUCUGUAACGGAUGAAAGCCUGAUGGAGUAAUGUUGUGCGGAUGAAGAAGGCCUUCGGGCUGCAAAGUCCUGCCCGCAGGGAAGAAAUAGCAUGUGUAGCUAUCGGUGGGGUUCGAUGUUAUUCACAUGAGAAAUUAUGGCUAACUUAGCGUUAGUAUUUGUGGCAACAUNACAGGUGCAAGUGCCGCUUGGAACUACCGGGUGCNAAAUGUNCGCAGUNGGCUUCCAAACCGAGCCGUGAAANNUUCGGGCUCAANUNGGGNGGUGCACCGGAANCCGGGAAUCCACGGUCCUNAAAAAAGAAAUGGAAUUUCUNCCCUAGUGGNGAAAUUCGUAAAAACCCGAAGAAAUUNCGGGGAAGNGG
rnacentral:rRNA from 1 species